AACCUUGCACAGUGGCAAUAUCGUAACCAAUGAAGGCCUCCUGAGGUGCGAUUAUUGCUGGAUGAAAGUA
rnacentral:snRNA from 1 species